GACGAACGCUGGCGGCGUGCCUAAUACAUGCAAGUAGAACGCACAGUUUAUACCGUAGCUUGCUACACCAUAGACUGUGAGUUGCGAACGGGUGAGUAACGCGUAGGUAACCUGCCUGGUAGCGGGGGAUAACUAUUGGAAACGAUAGCUAAUACCGCAUCAUAUUAAUUAUUGCAUGAUAAUUAAUUGAAAGGUGCAAUUGCACCACUACCAGAUGGACCUGCGUUGUAUUAGCUAGUAGGUGAGGUAACGGCUCACCUAGGCGACGAUACAUAGCCGACCUGAGAGGGUGAUCGGCCACACUGGGACUGAGACACGGCCCAGACUCCUACGGGAGGCAGCAGUAGGGAAUCUUCGGCAAUGGACGAAAGUCUGACCGAGCAACGCCGCGUGAGUGAAGAAGGGUGUCGGAUCGUAAAGCUCUGUUGUAAGGGAAGAACGGGUGUGAGAGUGGAAAGUUCACACUGUGACGGUAUCUUACCAGAAAGGGACGGCUAACUACGUG
rnacentral:rRNA from 1 species